GGGGAUGUAGCUCAGUGGUAGAGCACCUGUCUGACAUGUCACAGGUUUCAUUCCCA
rnacentral:tRNA from 1 species